CUUCUCCAUAUGAUGCCUGACAAGCUAGCUAGGAAAGCGCUGAAAAUAGCCCGUAUUAAUAUAUAGCCUUAGAAAUAAGGUUCAUGAAAUCAGUAACUUGCUAACAUCAGAUAGCAAUAAAAGGAUAAAACAUCUACAGAAGAGAUAAAUUCUUAUGGAUAAAUACUUAUGGGGGAGGUGUUGCUGUAUAUAAUCAGAACCAUAUCCCUGUAAUACUUAGAGAAGAUCUUAUGGGGGAGGUGUUGCUGUAUAUAUUCAGAGCCAUAUCCCUGUAAUACUUAGAGAAGAUCUUAUGGGGGAGGUGUUGCUGUAUAUAUUCAGAGCCAUAUCCCUGUAAUGCUUAGAGAAGAUCUUAUGGGGGAGGUGUUGCUGUAUAUAUUCAGAGCCAUAUCCCUGUAAUGCUUAUGGGGGAGGUGUUGCUGUAUAUAUUCAGAGCCAUAUCCCUGUAAUACUUAGAGAAGAUCUUAUGUCAAGUGUUAUUGAAGUGUUGUGGUUGCAGGUUCACCUUCCUCAUCUAAAGCCUUUUCUUUUGGGGUGUUGCUGUAGGUCAACAAGUGCUAACAGUCAGUAUCUAAAUAAUAUGUGUACAAUGUUUGACAGUGUAUGUGAUGUAAACAGAGAGGUCUACUUUCUUGGGCCCUGAAUAUUGACUGGUUUUCAUCAAGUUGUCCGCUCAAGAGGAAGUUUCUCACUGUAACCAGCGCCUGUAAUCUGGUUCAGGUUAUUAAUCAAACUACCAGGGUGUUUACAAAACACUAUAGGAACAAGAUCAUCCACAUGUAUCGAUCACAUUUAUACUAAUACUGUAGAACUUUGUUCUAAACCUGUAUCCGUACCCAUUGGAUGCAGUGAUCACAAUAUUGUGGCUAUAUGCAGGAAAGACAAAGUUCCAACAGCUGGGCCUAAAAUAGUGUAUAAGAGAUCAUACAAAAUAUUCUGCUGUGACUCUUCUGUGGAUGAUGUUAAAUAUAUUUGUUGGUUUGAUGUGAUUAAUGAGGAGCAUCUAGACGCUGCACUUGAUGAAUUUAUAACAUUUCUUCUUCCAAUUAUUGAUAAACAUGCACCUGUUAAG
ensembl:lncRNA